rnacentral:rRNA from 1 species
UAAGGCUGAGGCGUGAUGACGAGGCACCACGGUGCUGAAGUGACAAAUGCCCUGCUUCCAGGAAAAGCCUCUAAGCAUCAGGUAACAUCAAAUCGUACCCCAAACCGACACAGGUGGUCAGGUAGAGAAUACCAAGGCGCUUGAGAGAACUCGGGUGAAGGAACUAGGCAAAAUGGUGCCGUAACUUCGGGAGAAGGCACGCUGACAUGUAGGUGAAGCCCCUGCGGGUGGAGCUGAAGUCAGUCGAAGAUACCAGCUGGCUGCAACUGUUUAUUAAAAACACAGCACUGUGCAAACACGAAAGUGGACGUAUACGGUGUGACGCCUGCCCGGUGCCGGAAGGUUAAUUGAUGGGGUUAUCGCAAGAGAAGCUCCUGAUCGAAGCCCCGGUAAACGGCGGCCGUAACUAUAACGGUCCUAAGGUAGCGAAAUUCCUUGUCGGGUAAGUUCCGACCUGCACGAAUGGCGUAAUGAUGGCCAGGCUGUCUCCACCCGAGACUCAGUGAAAUUGAACUCGCUGUGAAGAUGCAGUGUACCCGCGGCAAGACGGAAAGACCCCGUGAACCUUUACUACAGCUUGACACUGAACAUUGAGCCUUGAUGUGUAGGAUAGGUGGGAGGCUUUGAAGCGUGGACGCCAGUCUGCGUGGAGCCGACCUUGAAAUACCACCCUUUAAUGUUUGAUGUUCUAACCUGGCGCCGUAAUCCGGCGUGGGGACAGUGUCUGGUGGGUAGUUUGACUGGGGCGGUCUCCUCCCAAAGUGUAACGGAGGAGCACGAAGGUCAGCUAAUCCUGGUCGGACAUCAGGAGGUUAGUGCAAUGGCAUAAGCUGGCUUGACUGCGAGAGUGACGGCUCGAGCAGGUGCGAAAGCAGGUCAUAGUGAUCCGGUGGUUCUGUAUGGAAGGGCCAUCGCUCAACGGAUAAAAGGUACUCCGGGGAUAACAGGCUGAUACCGCCCAAGAGUUCAUAUCGACGGCGGUGUUUGGCACCUCGAUGUCGGCUCAUCACAUCCUGGGGCUGAAGUAGGUCCCAAGGGUAUGGCUGUUCGCCAUUUAAAGUGGUACGCGAGCUGGGUUUAGAACGUCGUGAGACAGUUCGGUCCCUAUCUGCCGUGGGCGCUGGAGAA